rnacentral:tRNA from 1 species
UCUAAGAUGGCAGAUUAGUGCAUUAGAUUUAAGCUCUAAAAAUGAAAAUUUUUAUUUCUCUUAGAA